UACGGAGGGUGCGAGCGUUGUCCGGAAUCACUGGGCGUAAAGGGCGCGUAGGCGGCCUGAUAAGUAGGGGGUGAAAUCCUGCGGCUUAACCGCAGGGCUGCCUUCUAAACUGUCAGGCUUGAGCACAGUAGAGGCAGGUGGAAUUCCCGGUGUAGCGGUGGAAUGCGUAGAGAUCGGGAAGAACAUCAGUGGCGAAGGCGGCCUGCUGGGCUGUUGCUGACGCUGAGGCGCGACAGCGUGGGGAGCAGACAGG
rnacentral:rRNA from 1 species